rnacentral:piRNA from 1 species
UAACCUUUCAUUAAUACUUCG